CCUACGCGUGGCAGCAGUGGGGAAUAUUGCACAAUGGGGGAAACCCUGAUGCAGCGACGCCGCGUGAGCGAAGAAGUAUUUCGGUAUGUAAAGCUCUAUCAGCAGGGAAGAAAAUGACGGUACCUGAGUAAGAAGCCCCGGCUAACUACGUGCCAGCAGCCGCGGUAAUACGUGGGGGGCAAGCGUUAUCCGGAUUUACUGGGUGUAAAGGGAGCGUAGACGGCAGUGCAAGUCUGGGGUGAAAGGCGGGGGCUCAACCCCCGGACUGCUCUGAAAACUGUACGGCUGGAGUGCAGGGGAGGCAAGUGGAAUUCAUAGUGUAGCGGUGAAAUGGGUAGAUAAUAGGAGGAAAACCAGUGGCGAAGGCGGCUUACUGGACUGUAACUGACGUUGAGGCUCGAAAGCGUGGGGAGAAAACAGGAUUAGAUACCCCUGUAUC
rnacentral:rRNA from 1 species